rnacentral:tRNA from 1 species
GCCUCUGUAGCUCAGUUGGUUAGACUAGCACUGCACUGGAAUCGCAGGGCCGUAGGUUCAAUUCAUACCAGAGGAC